UCCCAGAUGUGCACAGUCCACCUCAACAACAUCCGCAAGAGGAAAGGAGGCAGCUGCCAACUGCAUUGGAGUCGUGUGCUCAAGUAAUAUUCCUUUGGCUAUGUAGUCCUGUCUGUAUCCUGCUUAGAGUGACUCAUGCCCCUUCCCUUCCCACAGCUCUCUGAAACAGAGGGCACCUGCUCAUUCCUGCUGGUCCCAUUCCACUUUAGCACUGGGCAUGGGGAUGUGAGUGGGAAAGCGGUAAGGUCUCGAGGAGGUGAAGGAACAAUGACCGGGAACAGGCUAACCAUGCUGUUUCUUCCCCUGUCUGCCUGGCUAGUGUCAGUUGCUAAGGAGAGAAAUCAACCGCCUGCAAUAUCAACUAGAAAAUUUACAAUGUGUUGAUGGAAAGUCUCAGGUGGAUGGAGCGCCCGCAUCCCCAGAAGAUGCCGGGUCCUUUUGAGAUGAGGAGCCGCAGCACCACGUUUCCCCUCACCUCCGUGCCUGAUGGCAGGGGAUCUGCUGAGAUGCUCAUCUAUGACUUCAU